AACAUCAUCACAAAUCUGUACUCGACAACUACAUGCAGUCCAGCAUAAUCAAAUCUUGCACAUAUGUUCUUCACUCAAAAUUGUGUUUAUUUGUAUGAUAUUCUGAACUAAAUUUAAGUAUUUCUCUGUAUGGAAGGAUCAUAUUAUCCUGUAAGAACAUUUUAGACCCUAUUUCUUGUGGUCAGCUGCUUCAUAAUGUAAGAUGUCUUAUGUUAGAAAUAAUUUAUGUAGCUUGAACAGCUGUAAGUGGUCCGUGUAUUACCCAAAUGAAGCUUACAGUACAAUUAUCGCUGCACCGUCGAAUGGAUGUUUCUUUCGUUGGAGCUUCGAUGGCUGAAGAGACGUGAAGAGCUAUUUGAUUCUGGACAAAUCUGUGACCGUGAAUUUCCACCGGCAGGAUCGUCAGAAGUACCUACUAAUCUGGAAAAUCAUUUAUUAAGUCAGAUGUACCUACUAAUCUGGAAAAUCAUUUAUUAAGUCAGAUGUACCUACUAAUCUGGAAAAUCAUUCAUUAAGUCGCAAUUUGAACAGUUAUGCUACUGUUGUAGCUUAAACAUUACAUCGAUUUGGUUCAUUGGUUUGUACAUAAUUUUUUAUUUUUUAUUUUGUGGACCUUGUUUCACAAAUUAUGGCACAGCUGUUGGUUUUAUUUAUUAGAUGAUAGUUGAUUUGGACAGUUUAGCGUAUGGCAACUAUUAAAUUGUUUCAUUCUAUUUUGGAGUACUUAUUGUUUUAGACUCGUUCCUAAUUUCAGGUAAAUUUUGAAGUUGAGCAAACAUUAUCAAUUUAUAGUUUCUUUGUUCGGGCGUUAGAUCUGUUGCGGUGAAUAGGAUUGUGUACUUCAAUCCAUUCAAAUUUAGCUUUUGUAAUAUAGAAUUUAUGAACUUCCUAAUUUCACAAGUUUUUAACGUGAGUAAAUAUUGGAAAUUAUUUAUCAUAUGCACUUCAUUUUAAUACUCGCUGUGUUAACAAAUAUAAUAUGUUAUAUCUAUUUGUGUUAAUUUUUGAUCUAUAAUGUUUGUGUGAUAGUCUACCAUUUCAAUUCGUAUGUGAAUGGAUACUAUUAUGGACAGUAAAUGUUUCAUAGAAAUUUCUGUUUGUGAUGGUGUGCUGUUGUGGAUCUUAUCUCUGCCUGGAGAGAUUCUCUGUGGAUACUGAUGUUCAGAUCCUGGAUGAAAGGUGGUUCAAUUCCACCAAGGUUCUUUAGCGGUCUAAAUAUUGGAGCACUUAUAAGUCUGAUUGUUGGAUUUAAUUAUUAUGUUCUGGAAGUAUUUUUUUUUGUAGUUUCUGAAUGAAUCUUUUGUGUAUAUGUUGCAGGUUACCAAACAGGACAAUAUUCUUUCUCCUACAAAUAUACUUGAGGAGUUGGGCCAAAAAAUUGUCCAUCUUUCGCCCACCCAGGGUCUGCAGUGAAAUUCUGGUACAACACACUUAUGACUAUGAGAGAGUACUACUAUUACCUACAUCAACGGAUCAAUGAUACUACAUCAACAGAAGCCAGCGGCAGCCCAGCAGCCAAUCAUACACCAACGGAUCAACUACACAUCAGUACGCAUCAGGGCUCGGGCAAAUAGUUCACCUUGCGGUGGCGGCGGAGAAUAGCAGAAGACUCGAGGCCUGGAGGCGACUCCAGGCAGUUGGGUCGGCGGCGGCGAGCCACUACAGGCGGCGGAGGUGGCGACGGUGGCUAUUGAUCCCUGGUGUGGUCGUGGGCUAUUGGGCUCGCUCGCGGCUGCGCUCGGUCGCCUCGCUUGUGUCCCAGGCGUGUCGCGCGCGUGUCCCGGCCGUAUUGGCAUUUUUUCUUUAUUUUUUAAAUCAAAAAAUGGGAUACUUCUGGGAUACCCGUAUCUAAGCCAUAUCUGGCGUAUCGGCGUAUCGACGACGUCCUGUACGGCGAUACAGAGAAUUCUGACGUAUCGGUGCUUCGUAGCUCCUCACCCCGCCUCUUCUUCCCUUCCUUGCCGUUGGUGGCUUCCGAAUCUAGAGCGGCGGCUCCAUUGGCACGGCCAGCUAGCAGCUAUGCGGGUGGUGGAUCUGGCGUCUUGGCCGUGCCGGCGUUGGGAUCCGGUGGUCCUUGGCGGCCGGCGGCGGCUUUUGCGGCGGUUGGUGCGCGUGAUCUGACGCCUCUCCUCCUUCCAGCCUGGUUGGGCCGUGCUUGAGAUGCUGCUUGUGCCAAGGAUCUAAGUUCGGAUGAAAUCCCUAGCCGACAAUGACCACCCGUGCCGACAGCGAUGCUCGAGGGCGUGGUUCCCUUCCUUGAUAUUGACUGAUCUUCUCACUUCUCUUUCCCCUAUGUUUUUCGGGCGAAAUCCUUAACUUUGUGCGACAGCGGUGGUAGUGAGGCCCUAUCCUAGUAUGGAUUUAUGUUUGUUGCUUGGAAAUGGACUUGUGUAGGUGAGGUCGCCGUCUGACGUCAUGAUGGCUCAAUGACGGAGGACCUGCCAAG